rnacentral:sRNA from 1 species
GCCGAGUGUAGUGGUGCAUGCCUAUAAUCCCAGCAACUGGGCAGGCUGAGGCAUGAGGAUCAUUAGUUUGAGGCCAGUCUCAGCAAUUUAGCAAGACCCUCAGCAACUUAGUGAGAUCCUGUCUCAA